UAGGAAGUACUUAAGAAAAAGAGUUGGGUUGCAUCUAAUCAUUAAAACGUUGUUUUCUACUUUU
rnacentral:tRNA from 1 species